AUUGAACGCUGGCGGCAGGCCUAACACAUGCAAGUCGAACGAGUGGCGGACGGGUGAGUAAUGCCUGGGAAACUUCCUGUUGGCGGGGGAUAACUACUGGAAACGGUAGCUAAUACCGCAUACCAUCAUAUGUGCCCAGAUGGGAUUAGCUAGUUGGGGGGGUAACGGCUCACCAAGGCGACGAUCCCUAGCUGGUCUGAGAGGAUGACCAGCCACACGGGAACGGAGACACGGUCCAGACUCCUACGGAGGGAAGCAGUGGGGAAGAUUGGACAAUGGGCGAAAGCCGGAUGCAGCAAGGCCGCGUGUAUGAAGAAGGCCUUCGGGUUGUAAAGUACUUUCAGCGGGGAGGCGUUACCCGCAGAAGAAGCACCGGCUAACUCCGUGCCAGCCGCCGCGGUAAUAC
rnacentral:rRNA from 1 species